UCUUGUGCGGUGCUAAGUGGGGCUGGCAGGGAUCGUCUGUUCGUCUGGCAGCUGAGCAUCGUGCACGGAAAGCAAAAUUACACCAGGUUUCAGCUUUGCCCUUGUAAGCAGGGAUGCCUCUUUUUAAUGAAGUAGUGGACUCAGCUCUUGUGGGCAAAUCAUCAUUGAUAAGGAGAGAAAAAGAGACACAAUAUGUGAAUUUUCAACUGUCAUCACAGAGAAGAAUUUCCAUCAGUACCUUAAACAGAAGUUGACUGGAAGGAAGCCACAGCAGUAUGUUAAGAGUUUUCAGUGGGGCAAGUCUGAAAGACACAACAAAAAAUGUUUCAUUUGGAAAACAUCACAAGGACCUGCUGUAGGAUUGCCAAAGUAAACUGUUUCAUUCUAGAGGAGGUCGAAGUGAAACAUCUGUCAGUCUGGUAAUCUUUGUGUCCUUCCACUGAAAAAUGGAGCCGAUGGGAAGGUACAGUUCAGCAAGCAAAGAAAAGGAAAUUCUCCCUCUUCUCUUAACUAUUUCUGAAAACUGAGCCAUCAUAGUGAAGAGCCUGAUUCGCAGACUUAGUGGGAAUUACGCCUGAGCCAGGUAGCAAGAAAAGUUCCAUGGAAGACAACAUCCAAGUCAAACAAUUUCUGUAGGUCUGGGUUUGAAAUCCUCACCCUGCAAGUCUUAACUUCAGCCAUCAGCUCACUCAGUUUCUGGUCUUAUUAAAA